AGCGUGGGGGCAGCCCUGACCGCGAUGCCGCGUGAGUGAAGAAGGCCUUCGGGUUGUAAAGCUCUUUUGUCAGGGAAGAAACACCGGCUCUAACACAGUCCGGGAAUGACGGUACCUGAAGAAUAAGCACCGGCUAACUACGUGCCAGCAGCCGCGGUAAUACGUAGGGUGCAAGCGUUAAUCGGAAUUACUGGGCGUAAAGCGUGCGCAGGCGGUUAUACAAGACAGGCGUGAAAUCCCCGGGCUUAACCUGGGAAUGGCGCCUGUGACUGUAUAGCUAGAGUGUGUCAGAGGGGGGUGGAAUUCCACGUGUAGCAGUGAAGUGCGUAGAUAUGUGGAGGAAUACCAAUGGCGAAGGCAGCCCCCUGGGAUAACACUGACGCUCAUGCACGAAA
rnacentral:rRNA from 1 species